GACGAACGCUGGCGGCGUGCUUAACACAUGCAAGUCGAACGGUGAAGCGCCUUCCUUUUUGGUGGGUGUGGAUGAGUGGCGAACGGGUGAGUAACACGUGAGUAACCUGCCCCCUUCUUCUGGAUAACCGCAUGAAAGUGUGGCUAAUACGGGAUAUUCUGGUUCUGUCGCAUGAUGGGUCUGGGAAAGAUAUUGUUUCGGUGGGGGAUGGGCUCGCGGCCUAUCAGCUUGUUGGUGGGGUGAUGGCCUACCAAGGCGGUGACGGGUAGCCGGCCUGAGAGGGUGGACGGUCACACUGGGACUGAGACACGGCCCAGACUCCUACGGGAGGCAGCAGUGGGGAAUAUUGCACAAUGGGCGCAAGCAUGAUGCAGCGACGCCGCGGGAGGGAUGGAGGCCUUCGGGUUGUGAACCUCUUUCGCCAGUGAAGCAGGCCUGCCUCGUUUGUGGGUGGGUUGACGGUAGCUGGAUAAGAAGCGCCGGCUAACUACGUG
rnacentral:rRNA from 1 species